GCCCACCCCGGAAGAGGACCAGGCACCGCCGCGCCCAUCCCGGAAAGGACUGGGUCCGGCUCCCCCCACCCCGGGUUAGCCGCCGGGAAGCGGCGGCUCCGCCUCCGCCUGGCCAGUCGGCGCCCGCCGGAGCGCUGGGGGAGGGGAGGGGCGCCGGGGGGACGGCGUCGGUGCCCGGGCCGCGGGGAGGGGUGUUCUCUCCCGCCCCGGGGAGGGACGCCCCCUUAUCUGAGCAGAUCGCGGACGUGGUAUGAACCCGGGCGCGGGAAGGCUCUGGGAGCCGGAGUUCACGGUAUGAGCAUCUUCAGUUAAACUAGAAAUACCAUUUUAGAAAAAUAUAUUUACUCUCUAUCUACACUCCAAAGAGCAACUGAAACAACCAAGAUUCUUCAAUGUAUCUUCAAAAUUAAACACUUUUCCUUAGUGGUA